UACGGAAGGCAGCAGUGGGGAAUAUUGCACAAUGGGCGCAAGCCUGAUGCAGCCAUGCCGCGUGUAUGAAGAAGGCCUUCGGGUUGUAAAGUACUUUCAGUCGUGAGGAAGGUGUUAAGGUUAAUAACCUUAGCAAUUGACGUUAGCGACAGAAGAAGCACCGGCUAACUCCGUGCCAGCAGCCGCGGUAAUACGGAGGGUGCGAGCGUUAAUCGGAAUUACUGGGCGUAAAGGGCACGCAGGCGGUUAAUUAAGUUGGAUGUGAAAUCCCCGGGCUUAACCUGGGAAUGGCAUUCAAGACUGGUUAGCUAGAGUCUUGUAGAGGGGGUAGAAUUCCACGUGUAGCGGUGAAAUGCGUAGAGAUGUGGAGGAAUACCGGUGGCGAAGGCGGCCCCUGGACAAAGACUGACGCUCAUGUGCGAAAGCGUGGGGAGCAAACGAGGGAUUAGAUACC
rnacentral:rRNA from 1 species